ensembl:lncRNA
CCACAUCCUGGAGGCUUUCUUAUGGUACCAGUUCAAACAAACUAAAUGUGGCUCCACACAAACAAUCACACAUUUAAGUUUCUACUGCAACAUUAUUCAUAAUAGCAAAAAAAAAAAAAAAAAACAGAUAAAUAAAUGUGGUACAUACAUACAAUGGAAUAUUAUUCAGCCACAAAAAGGAAUGGAGUACUUAUUCAAACAUCAACCUUGAAAACUUUACACUAAGUGAAGGUGUUACUUACCGGUUUGUUUUACCCAACUCGCAGCAAGCCAAAACGGUGAGAUGCUGAGGUUUGCACCAAAGCAAGGAGAUGGGCAAAUAGGUGUCAAAUCAUCUCGGAGAAGCCAAGACAAUCUUUGUACAGCACUGGCAUAACUAAGCUUCAGGCCUCUGCACAUUUUAAAGGUCACAAGUGCGCAUGCCUACGCAUGCCCAGACCAGCGGUCAGGGGUCCUUUCUAGCCCUAAGGCGCGCAGCUCGAACUAGACACAGCUGACUCUUGGCUCAGCCUUAACUACGUGCAGCUGACUCCAAGUUCCUGGAAAACAACUCAGGCAGGCAUCUUAUUGUUCAGGCUGCAUGCUGCCUGGAGGACGUGAAAAUCUUAAAACCUUGUUCAGAGAAGGGCUUCCCUGAUGGCUCAGUGGUAGAGAACCUGCCUGCCAAUGGAGGAGACGCGGGGUUGAUCCCUGGACUGGGAAGAUUCCACACGCCUCACAGCAACUAUGCCUGUGCCCUGCAGCUGCUGAGCCCCGUGCUAGAGCCGACAAGCCACGACUAUUGAAGCCCAAAUGCUCUAGAGCCUGUGCUCUGCAACAAGAGAAGCCACUGCAGUGAGAAGUCUGGGAACCAGAACAGAGUAACCGCCCAGUUACAGCAACUAGAGAAAGCCCACGAGCAAAAAUGAAGACCCAGCUCAACCAUAAAUAAAUAUGUUUUCAUGAAGCUAUUUAAUAAGACAAUUGGGGAGUUAAUGGCAUUGGCUAGAAGUACGACCAUUUCACUCUCAGAGUUUAGGCCUGAAUUACAUGUAAUUUACAAAAAAAUAUUUAAUAAGUGAGUUCAUCAAAAGAUCUUAAUUAAGUCACAUGAAAGGAGAGGUCUGCUCUACUAUGUGUUCCACUAUUACAUGUUCUGUUCUAAGAAGUUUAUUGAGGCCUGAUUAUUUCAACAGCACCUUAGACAGACUACUGUGAUCAUUUCAAAGUUGUCAUAAAUGUAUUGAAAAGAAAGUGAAAGACAAAGUGUUAGUCAGUCGCGUCCAACUCCAGGCUCCUCUGUCCAUGGAAUUCUGCAGGCAAGAAUAUGGGAGUGGAUUGCCAUUCCUUUAUCCAGAGGAUCUUCCUGACCCAGGGAUCAAACUCAGAUCUCCUGAAUUGCAGGCAGAUUCUUUACUGUCUUGAGCCACCUUACAUGGGUUACAUGAUAUGAAACAUUUAAGAUACCACUUUUUAAAAAUAAGUAUUAAUAUUAGACUAAAAAAUGUUGUACAAAAUUAAGUUAUUUCAAGGUAAAUUAGAAUAUUUUUAUUAUUAUAAAGCUAAGACUUUAUUAAGAAGGAAGUUGAAGGGUACAAAGAGGGGGUUAAGGAUUACUGGUUCCAGUGCUGGGUUCUGUACUAUUCUACCUCAGGAACCCAGUCAACUCUGAACAAGUAAAGUUCAGGAAGUGAAAUGGUGGCAACUGGAGAGUGUCCAGAAGAAUGGCCAACACUAACAUACCAUAUGUCCCAAGGCCUUCACUCUCAGGGUCAGCUGGCAGACUCUCAUGACAUGGAAGCCAGGAACAACGAGGAUGACCAGGGCUCCGCUGAAGUCUCCCUUGGGGAGAGUGGAAAUGAAACAAAUGGUAAACUACACUAAUGACUCUGUGACACACUUGCAGGCCUCUGGUGGUGUACCGUCUCCUGAACACAGAAAGGAUAGUCAACAAAGAGCCGUACCAGAAAAGUCUGUAAAACCGUAAAUUGCCACAACAGCUGAGAGAAUCAUCCUAUUGAAAGGAAAUUAAUGAGCGAGUGUCAAAAUGGGCAGUUGGUGUCAAUUCCUAGAGGAUUUGAAAGUGAGAAGUGGACUUGAGGAAACCAUGUUAAUAGAGACCUGGUU